CAGCCGCCGCGUAAUACGAGGGGGGCAAGCGUUGUUCGGAAUUAUUGGGCGUAAAGGGUGCGUAGGCGGCUUGACAAGUCUUGUGUGAAAUCUAUGGGCUCAACCCAUAGUCUGCACGGGAAACUGUCGGGCUUGAGAAUGGGAGAGGUGAGUGGAAUUUCCGGUGUAGCGGUGAAAUGCGUAGAUAUCGGAAGGAACACCUGUGGCGAAAGCGGCUCACUGGACCAUUUCUGACGCUGAUGCACGAAAGCUAGGGGAGCAAACAGGAUUAGAUACCCCUGUAGUCCCUGUCUCUUAUACC
rnacentral:rRNA from 1 species